rnacentral:tRNA from 1 species
UGUAACUCAGUGGUAGAGCAUCUGCCUGGCAUGUGGAAGGCCCUGGGUUCAAUCCCCAGCA